rnacentral:pre_miRNA from 1 species
AACUGGUGGUUGAGCUGUAACACUUGAAGACGCAACUUGCACUGCAUUGGCUCCUGUGACGACAAUGUUGUUGACUUGACCUUGCGGCUGCUGAUGCUUUGGCUUCGAACACUCUCUUGCAAAGUGACAUGGCUUGUAACAGUUG